rnacentral:rRNA from 1 species
CGAAACCAGAUGAUCUAUCCAUGGCCAGGCUGAAGGUGUGGUAACACACACUGGAGGGCCGAACCGACUAGUGUUGCAAAAUUAGCGGAUGAGCUGUGGAUAGGGGUGAAAGGCUAAACAAAUCUGGAGAUAGCUGGUUCUCCCCGAAAACUAUUGAGGUAGUGCCUCGUGUAUGGCUCCAGGGGGUAGAGCACUGUUAUGGCUAGGGGGACAUGGCGUCUUACCAAACCAUGGCAAACUCCGAAUACUUGGAAGUCUGAGCACGGGAGACAGAGCACCGGGUGCUAACGUCCGGACUCAAAAGGGAAACAACCCAGACCGCCGGCUAAGGUCCCUAAUAUUGACUAAGUGGAAAACGAAGUGGGAAGGCUAAGACAGUCAGGAAGUUGGCUUAGAAGCAGCCAUCCUUCAAAGAAAGCGUAAUAGCUCACUGAUCGAGUCUUCCUGCGCGGAAGAUGUAACGGGGCUAAGUCAAUAACCGAAGCCGCGGAUUCGCAGCAAUGCGAGUGGUAGGGGAGCGUUCUGUAAGCCUGCGAAGGCGGAUCCGCGAGGACCGCUGGAGGUAUCAGAAGUGCGAAUGCUGACAUGAGUAACGUUAAAGCGGGUGAAAAGCCCGCUCGCCGCAAGCCCAAGGUUUCCUGCUCUACGUUCAUCGGAGCAGGGUGA